rnacentral:tRNA from 1 species
GCGGACAUGGCGGAAUUGGCAGACGCGUUAGAUUCAGGUUCUAAUGAUUGAAAAAUCUUGCAGGUUCAACUCCUGUUGUCCGCACCA